rnacentral:lncRNA from 1 species
GAGAAUUGGUGUGAGGAUGAAUCAAAAUUGAGAGAAAAAUAUCUGGAUAAAGACAAGGAUAAGGGAAGAAAAAAAAAGAAGAGCGGAAGAGAAAUGAAAAGUAUGAGAUACUUGUCUAAAAAAUUCAGAUUGUUCAUGUGUUGAACAUAAAAUCUGAUUAGAGUGUGGUUUGAUACUUUGAAAAAAAAAUUUUAGAGUAGUCCUAGUGGAGGACAUGAAGGCAAACAAAUAAUGAUGCAACCCACUCUUGCGAAGGAUGGUCGGCAGCACACUUGCGAAGAAGGCUGCAGCACCAUGAGGAGUUGGGAAGGGCCCUGAUCAAUCUUGUGUGGAUCACUGUUGGAGAGCUUCUGCUUUCAAACCUUGUGAAGAUCUCAAAAUCACUAGUUCAUGAUCUUCAUGGUGGUAUAAGACUUCUGGUCUUCUCCUCAUAUGCUUGAUUUUGUGAUUUGAUUGAAAUCAUCAAGGUGUUCUUAGGGUUUUUGAGUUUCGAUGGAUGAGUGUAAUUGUUAAACUUAGUUUUCAUGAUCGAUUCAUGAUCAAACCUUGGAUAUAAAAUUUCA